rnacentral:rRNA from 1 species
UAGUAACUGCGAGUGAAGCGGGAAAAGCUCAAAUUUAAAAUCUGGCAGUCUAUGGCUGUCCGAGUUGUAAUCUAGAGAAGUGAUGCCCGCGCUGGACCGUGUACAAGUCUCCUGGAAUGGAGCGUCAUAGAGGGUGAGAAUCCCGUCUCUGACACGGACUACCAGGGCUUUGUGGUAUGCUCUCAAAGAGUCGAGUUGUUUGGGAAUGCAGCUCUAAAUGGGUGGUAAAUUCCAUCUAAAGCUAAAUAUUGGCGAGAGACCGAUAGCGAACAAGUACCGUGAGGGAAAGAUGAAAAGAACUUUGGAAAGAGAGUUAAACAGUACGUGAAAUUGCUGAAAGGGAAACGCUUGAAGUCAGUCGYGUUAGCUGGGAAUCAGCCUUGCUUGUUGCUUGGUGUACUUUCUGGUUGACGGGUCAGCAUCAAUUUUGACUGCUGGAAAAAGGCCUUGGGAAUGUGGCAGCUUUGGCUGUGUUAUAGCCCUUGGUCACAUACAGCAGUUGGGAUUGAGGAACUCAGCACGCCGCAAGGCCGGGUUUCGACCACGUUCGUGCUUAGGAUGCUGGCAUAAUGGCUUUAAGCGACCCGUCUUGAAACACGGACCAAGGAGUCUAACAUGCCUGCGAGUGUUUGGGUGGUAAACCCUUGCGCGUAAUGAAAGUGAAAGUUGAGAUCCCUGUCGUGGGGAGCAUCGACGCCCGGACUUGAACUUUUGUGACGGAUCCGCGGUAGAGCAUGUAUGUUGGGACCCGAAAGAUGGUGAACUAUGCCUGAAUAGGGUGAAGCCAGAGGAAACUCUGGUGGAGGCUCGUAGCGAUUCUGACGUGCAAAUCGAUCGUCAAAUUUGGGUAUAGGGGGCGAAAGACUAAUCGAACCAU